UACGAAGGGGGCUAGCGUUGUUCGGAAUUACUGGGCGUAAAGCGCGCGCAGGCGGCUCUUCAAGUCAGGGGUGAAAGCCCAGAGCUCAACUCUGGAACUGCCUUUGAUACUGGCGAUCUUGAGUCCGGGAGAGGUGAGUGGAACUGCGAGUGUAGAGGUGAAAUUCGUAGAUAUCGAGAGGAACACCGGUGGCGAAGGCGGCCAGCUGGACGAGUACUGACGCUGAGACACGAAAGCGUGGGGAGCAAACAGG
rnacentral:rRNA from 1 species